CACCAGUCAGAGAGAAUGAUUUGGUGCCAGGCGAUGUAGUAAUCCUGCAGCACAGGACUGGAGACCAGACACACCAGAGUGACCUCAGCUCUUUUGUUGAUGUCCUCCUCUGGGAGGACGUGGACUGUCACUAUUGGCUCACGCCCAUCUGAAAGAAACACCAGCGAGUCAGAUAAGUAGAGGUGGAAGACAUCUGAGUUUUGCAUUGACUCCUCCUCACAGGGAGGAGAGACAUGGACUGGAGAUAUUUGCUUAAACUGGGGAAUUCAUUUCCAAGAAUCAAGCCUCCAAGU